GGGGGAGAGAGUGUCGGCUUCCCCGAAAUAAACGCCUCCAGAGGGGAGGCGUCAUCCCGGAACGCAGCAGGAGGAGGCCGAACCAGGGUCGGGAGCUCGCCCCGGAGGCCAGCGACCCUUGGGCGGAUCAAGGCAGGCUGCCCUCGGCAGGUUCCCCUGCGUCUGUCCGUCCGUCCGUCCGUCUGGCCCCAAACAGUGCCCGCUGCUGCCCACCUCCAGCCUGGCCAGAGAUCCCUGGCCUUCCCCGGGGGCUUCUCCAUCCCCACCGAGUGGCCAGGCCAGAUUCUCCUCGGCGCUGAGAUCGGGCCCCGGCUGGGUGCGGCCAGGUUUCUUAUCGGGAGGGGGGCAGCUGACAAAAAGCCCCCCCCGAAUAUCAAGGAAGAUUAGGGGAGGAACGGGACGAAACCCGAAGUGCUCCUGUACUGACCUUUGAGGGGAUCCCUUGGGCGGGCUGCCUUCCAAAAUCACCGUCCUUGAGGGGGUGGGGUGGGGUGGAGGGUCCUGCAUUUAACGCAGAGGGCCCACACCGUCCCACACCCUCGGCCCCCCCCAUGGCCAAGAGCAGGUCUGUGCCGUGCAGCCUUUCAGGGGGGAAGAAGCCCCCCGCAAAGAUCUCACCUUUCCAGCUCCUCUCGGCAGCUGUGGAGGGGGGAAGAGUGGUGGGGGAGAUGGACAGGUUGGCAGAGUGAGCCCUUCCCAUUGAGGGAAGGGCUGGGAAGGCCAGGAGGGAUUGCUCAUGGCUUGGGGAGGGAGCGGCUCCCCCCCCCACGCGUUCCUUUCUCCGUAGGGAUCUGUGCCCCCCCCAAGUGUGGGCUGGAGGUUCUCAGCUGUCUUGCUUCUGCGAGCUGCGGUUCCUUUCCUGGCGGCUUUUCCAGCACCUCCGUCUCCAGGAGCUGGUCCUGGUGGGCAACCCGCUCGUGUGCAGCUGUGGCCUUCGGUGGCUGCAGGUCUGGGAGGAGAGCCGGCAGGCCGAGCUGUCCAGCAACCAGUCCUUGCAGUGCCUGGAGGCGAGCGGCAAGGAGACCCCCCUGAGCGAGAUGCGCCUCCAGGGCUGUGGUGAGGANGGCCCGGGUUCAACACACGGGCCAGGGCCAGGGGGUUCCGGGGCCCCCUCUCAGCCCCACACAACAGCGGAGGGGGGCAGCCACCCAGGGGAGGCGGCUGUGUUCAGCUUUGGGUCCUGCGGCCUGCUGUCUCUUGGGCUGGGCGGGGAUGGCGCCCCCCCGGCCGUUGGCCCUGGACCCUGACGCCUGGCAAGUGGUCCGUAGGGCCUCCCUCUUGCUUCAGCAGGGGCGGGGGGGCGGAGGGUGCCCUCCGGAGGGCCUUGGCCGCCUCCCUUGGGCAAGGAGGGUCCCCUAGCGAAUAGCUGUGGGCGAGAAAGGGGUCGGCGUGCAGGUGGGGAGGAAUCUCAGCCUCCCGUGGCCUUCCUUGCAGGACCAUCUCCAAGACCCACCUGCAGUUCAUCUCCCCCGACGCCUUCCAGGCCAGCCUGAACCUGACGCACGUGUGAGUAGCCAUCGCUCUGUCCGGGGGGGGGGGUCUCUCUCAGGGGGAGCCGAGCCUUUUGAGCCCUUCUGCGCCUUUGGGGGCCUGCUGCUCCGACAUGCCCCCCUCCCUUGCUUGCUGUGCCUCCCCUGCUCCCAGAGCCCUCGUCCUCCCCCCUCUCCUGCCACAGCCAUCGCCCCCACCUGCCUGCCCUGAAGUGGGAAGUUGUUAAUCACAGUUAGCGUUCAUUUCCCUUCGACAGAGUGUUAUCGAUGGGCGGGGGGGGCUAUUACCCCCUCUCUCCCUUCCCAGCCUGGCCCUCCACCCUCACCAUAGGAUGCCCCCACACCAACGGCUGGUUGCGGUGGGUCAGCUCUUGGUGGUGGUGAGCCAUCGCCCCCACCUGCCUGCCCUGAAGUGGGAAGUUGUUAAUCACAGUUAGCGUUCAUUUCCCUUCGACAGAGUGUUAUCGAUGGGCGGGGGGGGCUAUUACCCCCUCUCUCCCUUCCCAGCCUGGCCCUCCACCCUCACCAUAGGAUGCCCCCACACCAACGGCUGGUUGCGGUGGGUCAGCUCUUGGUGGUGGUGUGGU
rnacentral:lncRNA from 1 species